CGGAUUAUUCCUUCUGGGAUAGCUUAGCGGCGGACGGGUGAGUAACACGUAAGCAACCUGCCCACAAGACCGGGAUAACAUUCGGAAACGAAUGCUAAGACCGGAUACGCAAGCCUGGGGCAUCCCGGGCUUGGGAAACACGGCGCAAGCUGUGGCUUAUGGAUGGGCCUGCGGCGCAUUAGCUAGUUGGCGGGGUAACGGCCCACCAAGGCGACGAUGCGUAGCCGACCUGAGAGGGUGAACGGCCACACUGGGACUGAGACACGGCCCAGACUCCUACGGGAGGCAGCAGUAGGGAAUCUUCCACAAUGGGCGAAAGCCUGAUGGAGCAACGCCGCGUGAGUGAGGAAAGCUUUCGGGUCGUAAAGCUCUGUUGCCAGGGAAGAAUAAAGGCCAGUUAACUGCUGGUCCGAUGACGGUACCUGAGAAGAAAGCCCCGGCUAACUACGUGCCAGCAGCCGCGGUAAUACGUAGGGGGCAAGCGUUGUCCGGAAUUAUUGAGCGUAAAGCGCGCGCAGGCGGUUCUUUAAGUCUGGUGUAUAAGUGCGGGGCUCAACCCCGUGAGGCACUGGAAACUGGAGAACUUGAGUGCAGAAGAUGAGACCGGAAUUCCCCGUGUAGCGGUGAAUGGCGUAGAGAUGUGGAGGACACCAGUGGCGAAGCGGCUCUCGGGACUGUAACUGACGCUGAAGCGCGUAAGCGGUGGGGACAAACAGGAUUAGAUACCCUGGGUAGCCCCGCCGUAAACGAUGAGUGCUAAGUGGUUGGGGGGGACCGCCCCCCGCUGGGGCGAAGUUGAAAAAUUAGGGACUCCGCCCGGGGGAAUUACCCCCCGAAAGAGUGAACCGCCAAGGAAUGGGCGAGGACCGGCGGAAUGCGUGGGGAAUUGGGGAGUUUAUUCCAAACAAAGAGCGAAAACCGUCNAGGGGCUUAGAGAGCCCUAGG
rnacentral:rRNA from 1 species